rnacentral:lncRNA from 1 species
AGGCCCACAGGAGCUCCUGGCUGCAGUGCUGACCGAGAUGGCCCCUCCCUAAAGGAACCUGACUCUGCAUACCUCUAGCUCUUAGAACCACUGGCAGCCUCUGACUUAUGAUCUCACUCUUCAUUCCAAGGCCAGCCGCUGUGGCUGUAUCUCUUUUCCUCCAAGGUCUCUGAGUCUCUUUUCCCAACCUGCUCCACAAGACCAGUUAUCCAUGACAUAACCUCAAGUCCUUUUCUUGGCAAUGACCUCAGUCGGUAAGGGCCGCAAGAUCUCGGCCGGCAAUGACCACAAGACCAUGGUCAUCAAUUGCCACAGGAUCUCAGUUGGCUGUGACCACGGGACCAUGGUCAACGACGGCCUCAGGACUACAGUCGGCAAUGACCACAGGAACACGGUCACCAAGGACCACAGGACCUCGGUCGGCAAUGACCACAUGACCAUUGUCAACGACGGCCUCAGGGCCUCAGUUGGCAAUGACUACAAGGUCAUUGUCACCAAUGACUACAGGACCACGGUUGGCAAUGGCUACAGUGCCACGGUCUACAAUGACAGUCAACGAUGACCACAGAACCACAGUCAGCAGUGGAGACCUGAAGUCCUUUUCUGCUGUGUAAAGAAGCAAGCAUGGAUUCUAGCAUUGAGGUAGGACACCUGUAGUGGCCACUGGUCUCCUGAAUGUCCCCUGGGUUCUCCGCUUUUUCCUUCAGACUUGUCACCUCCAGGAGCCCAAAGAAACAGGAGGACAGGGUAGGCUAUGUUGUUAUCUUUCUUGUUAUUCUUCUGCAAGGUGGCACUGUGUGCAAAGUUUACCUGUCAUCCUGGAAGUAGCUAGCUAAAGCUGUCCACAUUUCCCAGAUGGGAACUAAGGAAGGCACAAAAUCAGAAAGCAGGACAGGAAAUACACAGACAAAUCUUCCCAUCCUGGUCCCCACCUGGCCUCUGUGACCCUAUAUGUGUGUCAUUUUUAGGUAGCUCUCAUCCAAAUCCAAGAGCCACCUUUCCUCAGAGGGUGCAAGAGUAUUUCAAAAAGAACUCAACAGAGGCCCUGGGCAGGAGGAAGUAGCCUCAGCUCCUAGCCUGCCCUUGGCA